rnacentral:ncRNA from 2 species
UUACUACCAAACGGGGGCCGAGCAUCGUCGGCUGAGAUUGUAACGAGCGUGUUACUGACCGUUGAACCUGACCUGGGUCAUGCCAGCGGAGGAAGAGGUAUAUGAAUCGAU